rnacentral:rRNA from 1 species
AUUGAACGCUGGCGGCAGGCCUAACACAUGCAAGUCGAGCGAGCGGCGGACGGGUGAGUAAUGUAUGGGGACUGCCUGAUAGAGGGGGAUAACUACUGGAAACGGUAGCUAAUACCGCAUACUAUCGGAUAACCCAUAUGGGAUUAGCUAGUAGGUGGGGUAAUGGCUCACCUAGGCGACGAUCCCUAGCUGGUCUGAGAGGAUGAUCAGCCACACUGGAACGGAGACACGGUCCAGACUCCUACGGAGGCAGCAGUGGGGAAUAUUGCACAAUGGGCGCAAGCCUGAUGCAGCCAUGCCGCGUGUGUGAAGAAGGCCUUCGUGUUGUAAAGUACUUUCAGUGGGGAGGCGUUACCGGCAGAAGAAGCACCGGCUAACUCCGUGCCAGCAGCCGCGGUAAUUC